rnacentral:rRNA from 1 species
GACGAACGCUGGCGGCGUGCUUAACACAUGCAAGUCGAACGGAAAGGCCCUGCUUUUGUGGGGUGCUCGAGUGGCGAACGGGUGAGUAACACGUGAGUAACCUGCCCUUGACUUUGGGAUAACUUCAGGAAACUGGGGCUAAUACCGGAUAGGAGCUCCUGCUGCAUGGUGGGGGUUGGAAAGUUUCGGCGGUUGGGGAUGGACUCGCGGCUUAUCAGCUUGUUGGUGGGGUAGUGGCUUACCAAGGCUUUGACGGGUAGCCGGCCUGAGAGGGUGACCGGCUACAUUGGGACUGAGAUACGGCCCAGACUCCUACGGGAGGCAGCAGUGGGGAAUAUUGCACAAUGGGCGGGAGCCUGAUGCAGCAACGCCGCGUGCGGGAUGACGGCCUUCGGGUUGUAAACCGCUUUCGCCUGUGACGAAGCGUGAGUGACGGUAAUGAGUAAAGAAGCACCGGCUAACUACGUG